AGCAGCCGCGGUAAUUCCAGCUCCAAUAGCGUAUAUUAAAGUUGUUGCAGUUAAAAAGCUCGUAGUUGAAUUUCGGGGUCAGUAGGUUGGUCAUGCCACUGGUAUGUACUGGUCUCACUGAUUCCUCCUUCCUGAUGAGCCGUAAUGCCAUUAAUUUGGUGUUGCGAGGAAUCUGGACUGUUACUUUGAAAAAAUUAGAGUGUUUAAAGCAGGCUAACGCUUGAAUACAUUAGCAUGGAAUAAUGAAAUAGGACGUUCGAUCUUAUUUUGUUGGUUUCUAAGAUUGACGUAAUGAUUAAUAGGGAUAGUUGGGGGCAUUAGUAUUCAAUUGUCAGAGGUGAAAUUCUUGGAUUUAUUGAAGACUAACUACUGCGAAAGCAUUUGCCGAGGAUGUUUUCAUUAAUCAAGAACGAAAGUUAGGGGAUCGAAGACGAUCAGAUACCGUCGUAGUCUUAACCAUAAACUAUGCCGACUAGGGAUCGGAUGAUGUUAAUUUUUUAAUGACUCA
rnacentral:rRNA from 1 species